GACGAACGCUGGCGGCGUGCUUAACACAUGCAAGUCGAACGGAAAGGCCCUGCUUUUGUGGGGUGCUCGAGUGGCGAACGGGUGAGUAACACGUGAGUAACCUGCCCUUGACUUUGGGAUAACUUCAGGAAACUGGGGCUAAUACCGGAUAGGAGCUCCUGCUGCAUGGGGGGGGUUGGAAAGUUUCGGCGGGUGGGGAUGGACUCUCGGCUUACUAGCUUGUUGGUUGGGGAGUGGCUUAGCAAGGCAUUGACGGGUAGCCGGCCUGAGAGGGUGGACGGCCACAUGGGGACUGAGAUACGGCGCAGACUCCUACGGGAGGCAGCAGGGGGGAAUAUUGCACAAUGGGCGGAAGCCUGAUGCAGCAACGCCGCGUGCGGGAUGACGGCCUUCGGGUUGUAAACCGCUUUCGCCUGUGACGAAGCGUGAGUGACGGUAAUGGGUGAAGAAGCACCGGCUAACUACGUG
rnacentral:rRNA from 1 species